AGUGAACGCUGGCGGUAGGCCUAACACAUGCAAGUCGAACGGCAGCACAGUAAGAGCUUGCUCUUACGGGUGGCGAGUGGCGGACGGGUGAGGAAUACAUCGGAAUCUACUUUUUCGUGGGGGAUAACGUAGGGAAACUUACGCUAAUACCGCAUACGACCUACGGGUGAAAGCAGGGGAUCUUCGGACCUUGCGCGAUUGAAUGAGCCGAUGUCGGAUUAGCUAGUUGGCGGGGUAAAGGCCCACCAAGGCGACGAUCCGUAGCUGGUCUGAGAGGAUGAUCAGCCACACUGGAACUGAGACACGGUCCAGACUCCUACGGGAGGCAGCAGUGGGGAAUAUUAGACAAUGGGCGCAAGCCGGAUCCAGCCAUACCGCGUGGGUGAAGAAGGCCUUCGGGUUGUAAAGCCCUUUUGUUGGGAAAGAAAAGCAGCAGGUUAAUACCCCGCUGUUCUGACGGUACCCAAAGAAUAAGCACCGGCUAACUUCGUG
rnacentral:rRNA from 1 species